rnacentral:rRNA from 1 species
AGCGAACGCUGGCGGCAGGCUUAACACAUGCAAGUCGAGGGGCAGCACGGGUAGCAAUACUUGGUGGCGACCGGCGCACGGGUGCGUACCGCGUAUGCAACCUCCCUAUAACCGGGGGAUAAUCAGGAGAAAUCCGGUCUACUACCCUAUAAUACUAUAGAAGGCAUCUGAAAUAGUUGAAAUUUUCGGAGGUUAUAGAUGGGCUUGCGUGACAUUAGUUAGUUGGUACGGUAACGGCGUACCAAGGCGACGAUGUCUAGGGGGACUGAGAGGUUUUCCCCCCACACUGGUACUGGGACACGGACCAGACUCCUACGGGAGGCAGCAGUGAGGAAUAUUGGUCAAUGGACGGAAGUCUGAACCAGCCAUGCCGCGUGCAGGAUGACGGCUCUAUGAGUUGUAAACUGCUUUUGUACGAGGGUAAAGUGGGUUACGUGUAACCUUUUGAAAGUAUCGUACGAAUAAGGAUCGGCUAACUCCGUGCCAGCAGCCGCGGUAAUAC